GACGAACGCUGGCGGCGCGCCUAACACAUGCAAGUCGAACGGGAUCUUUUGAGAGCUUGCUCUCGGCUGAUCUAGUGGCGGACGGGUGAGUAACACGUGAGCAACCUGCCUUUCAGUGGGGGAUAACAUUCGGAAACGGAUGCUAAUACCGCAUAACGUACGGGGACCGCAUGGUACCUGUACCAAAGGAGCAAUUCGCUGAAAGAUGGGCUCGCGCCCGAUUAGAUAGUUGGUGAGGUAACGGCCCACCAAGUCUGCGAUCGGUAGCCGGACUGAGAGGUUGAUCGGCCACAUUGGGACUGAGACACGGCCCAGACUCCUACGGGAGGCAGCAGUGGGGAAUAUUGCACAAUGGGGGAAACCCUGAUGCAGCGACGCCGCGUGAGUGAAGACGGUCUUCGGAUUGUAAAGCUCUGUUGUGGGGGACGAUAAUGACGGUACCCCACUAGAAAGCCACGGCUAACUACGUGCCAGCAGCCGCGGUAAGAC
rnacentral:rRNA from 1 species